GCCGGGCAUGUUGGCGCAUACCUGUAAUCCCAGCCACUCGGGAGGCUGAGGCAUGAGAAUCGCUUGAACCCAGGAGGUGGAGGCUGCAGUGAGCUGAGAUGGCGCCACUGCACUCCAGCCUGGGUGAUAGAGUGAGACCCUGUCUCAA
rnacentral:SRP_RNA from 1 species